rnacentral:rRNA from 1 species
UACGGGGGGGGCAAGCGUUGUUCGGAAUUACUGGGCGUAAAGGGCUCGUAGGCGGCCAACUAAGUCGGACGUGAAAUCCCCAGGCUCAACUUGGGAACUGCGUCCGAUACUGAUUGGCUUGAAUCCGGGAGAGGGAUGCAGAAUUCCAGGUGUAGCGGUGAAAUGCGUAGAUAUCUGGAGGAAUACCGGUGGCGAAGGCGGCAUCCUGGACCGGCAUUGACGCUGAUGAGCGAAAGCUAGGGGAGCAAACGGG